rnacentral:lncRNA from 1 species
AACAAAAGAGUGAAACAAAGUGAAGCUUUAAAAUUAUAUAAUUAACUUGAAUAUAUUUAAAUACAGUGAAUAUAUUGAAAAAGUAGAAAAGACUAAAUUCGUGAAUACAAUGAAAUACAUGGAAUACAGCGAGAUACAUUGAAUACAAUAAAAAUAAAGGUAACUGACUCUUCAAGUUUCUCAGCCCUAAACUCCGUCCCCAAUCCACCGAUAUCCAGGCCGCCGCCAUGUGAGGCGCCGCCGCCGGUACCGGCCCUCUCUGGGUUGUCCAGGUAGUGAAUCUCUCAUUUCUGCUUUGAAAAUUUUGAGAUCUGCACUUGUAUUUCUCCAGAUCUUUGUUUCUCCUUUAUCUUUUUCUGUUUCGUUUUGUCUUGUCUUUUCCAUUCAAUUCCGAUACCAGCGAAAAUCUAUCAAGUUUAACACUUACCACAACUUUUUGGAGCAAAAAAAAAGUUAAAAAUUUCGCGAGACAAUGGAGAUGAAUCGGUGGAGAAUCGUGGUUGUAUUCAUGGAGAAGAGAGUGGUGUUGAGAGAGAGAGAUGGGGUGGAGAGAGAUCGUGGUUAAGUUGUAUACAGAAAGUAGGAGUCAGAAAAAUAUUACCCAGCGUAUUUAAUGGCUAAACAGUAAGAAGUGACUAUAAAUACAUAUUUUGCUAUAAAAUCUAAAAGGUAGCUAUAGAAAAUAAUAUUUUAAAAGAAUAUUUAUUUAUAAUAAAUAAGGUGUAAAGCUUUGCUAUAGGAGGUAAAAUUUCCCUAAAUAAAUGCACCAGACCUCCAAUAGGUCCUGUGAAAUGUGGCUGGGCUUCAGAUCACAAGCCCAAAACAUCUUUCAAUCUUUUGAGACCAAACAGGCCUUGCCACAUGCCUCAAAAUGGGCCCCUGGGAGUGGAAACCCAGUAAUCUGCAGGCACCAUUGCAGAGAAAUGAAAUAGCUACAAGCUAAACUAAGCAUGAGUACACGUUCAUCCAGAUUUAAAGUUACAACGCCAAAUCAUUACAUUAGAAAUCGUGGUCUUGAAUUUGUGAUGAUAAAUGCUUCUGGGAACUAACAUCCUAUAAUUCUGGAAUUAAACAAUGUAAUAGCAAAUAGACUGCAAUUAAUUAAUCUAUAUCUCUUCAUGCUUUUGGUUCUACAGGUAUGGCGUUCCUCUUUCAGCUUUCAACAUCAAUGUCCAAAACGAAAACAGACAGACUGACAUGGACAAACUUGAACCCAAUUUCCAUAGAUCUGCGAAACGUUUAUGGUUAACCACAAUACAAAGUCAUCGUAUAACGGAUUACAGAUUCAAAUUAAAUAUGUUAUACAUGACCAACAGAGGCAAAUUCAAACUUCACUUCAAAUGCAAAUACACUAUCACAGCUAAACACAAACAUUACAUGAAGACAGUAGCAUAUUUGAAUUUCAUAGAAGAGCAGAAAUAUUUUAUUAUGCUAGAAUUCAGAAUUAUACAAAAAUCAAAGAUGUGUACCUAAGCUUGAGCACAAAGCUCGCAAUGGCCAAAUAAAGGCAAAAAUUGAAGAAUAAAGCUCAGCAGAUUCAGGAAACAACAGCAACCAAGCAAAGAACAGCAGCAAUGGCACUCCUAAAGCCUUUUCGAAACCCAGAUUUUAAAAAACUUCUUCGUUCCCUUUUUUUUGUUUUCAAAUCUGUUUUUGUUUGAGACUUGAAUUCUAAGAAUUUUUCUUUUGAUUUCAGCUUCUGUAUGUAUUUUGUGUGUAAAUAUCCAGAGAGGAGUGGAAAGAGUGUGAAUAUAUGUAGGAAAUGAUCAAU